GUUGAAGGAGUAAUGUCAGUGGUGGGAAUGAAGACAAUCUUGUAUUGGUGAUUUGUAGUCUUGUAACUACCGCCAUUAUUAGUCACCAAGAAAUUGUCAAUGUUUCUCCAAGCACCAACAGGUACUUUUUUCUCCAAACGAUCAAAGUAUGUCUUCUUACAUGAUGCAUGAAUCUUGUUACCCUUCAAUAUAAUAAGAAUAAACGGAUUAGAUAAAAAUUUAAAAUAUAGAUGUAUUUAGGAAUCAUUUGUUUCCGCAACAAUAAAUAAGAGAACAUGAUUUAGAAAGGUGUUUGCCAUUUAGAUGUAGUUACGAAUAGUGAGAACAAAAUAACAGAAAGAAUCAUAAGAAAGUUUAGAGACGUACAUAUGCAUCAGAGAAAACGAUUUCCAAGGUUUCUCCUGAAAGAGGUGUGAACUGCUUCCAAGUAUGAAGGACCUUAACUUGUAGACGCCAGGAAGUUCUGUACGGACGAACUUGAUUGACAAAGCUGAGUUCCAUAAUUGCAGUGCAGUUUCUGUAAAGAUUGAAGGUGUGGUGGAGUUAUGCGUAGACUGCAAUAUUUAUAAGUGCAGUUUCUGUAAAGAUGGAAGGUGUGGAGAUUUUUCCGGAAAUAUAGUAGUGGUGAUGUUACGUGAUUAAAG
rnacentral:lncRNA from 1 species